GGGGGUGCACUGGUUUCGACGGGGGUUGUGAAGUCGCUUGGCGCAUGCCGAGGGGGUAGCUUUCCUCGUAAAUCCAGCUGCAAAACUCUAGUUGCCAACGACGACAACUACGCUCUCGCCGCUUAAGGCGUAAGCCCCGAACCCACUUGUGCCCGUGCUCGUGGAUGUAGGGUCAUUAUCACGGAACCGGCUGUGACGGCUGCCUGUCAGUCACGGCUUAACCAAAACAGGCUGGUCCUGGGGUGCGCUUUGCACACCGUGCUGCCACAGGGCGAGAUCCAACGGUGAGCUAAGCAUGUAGUGCUGGGGAUGGAGUGCCUUCGGACGGCGGUUCAAUUCCGCCCACCUCCACCA
rfam:Stenotrophomonas terrae strain DSM 18941 contig_59, whole genome shotgun sequence.